UUUCCUCAGCGAGUCAUCCUUGAUAUGUUCAUCUUAACCGAUGACGGAUGUUCUUUGUGUCAGAUUUUUAUUAUCUCCUUACCCAGUAACAGGUAGUAGAUAAUAAAUUUCUGCUACUCCUGUGUUGAGGUUUAUCUUCCCCAUUUGAGUUGAGUGCGCAUUUCCUUAGUGAAAUCGUUGUUCCCCUGCAUGAUUCGAGUACCUCAGUUUUAUAUUGACUUAUUUGUAUCCCCUGCAGAUGUUUGUUUCCCCGACUG
rnacentral:lncRNA from 1 species